rnacentral:rRNA from 1 species
UACGUAGGGGGGCAAGCGUUAUCCGGAUUUAUUGGGCGUAAAGAGCUCGUAGGCGGCUGAUCGCGUCGGUUGUGAAAGCUCAGGGCUCAACCCUGAGACGCCAAUCGAUACGGAUCGGCUAGAGGUAGGUAGGGGAAGGUGGAAUUCCUGGUGUAGCGGUGAAAUGCGCAGAUAUCAGGAGGAACACCGGUGGCGAAGGCGGCUUUCUGGGGCCUUACCUGACGCUGAGGAGCGAAAGCUGGGGGGAGCAAACAGG